rnacentral:rRNA from 1 species
GAGUUUGAUCCUGGCUCAGAACAAACGCUGGCGGCGUGCCUAACACAUGCAAGUCGUACGAGAAAGUCCGCUUCGGUGGGCAAGUAAAGUGGCGCACGGGUGAGUAACGCGUGGAUAAUCUACCCUUUAGUCUGGAAUAACUUAUCGAAAGGUGAAUUAAUACCGGAUAAUAUCCCGGUUUCCCCGGAAAUCGGGAUCAAAGAAGGCCUCUGCUUGCAAGCUUUUGCUGAAGGAUGAGUCCGCGUACCAUUAGCUAGUUGGCAGGGUAAUGGCCUACCAAGGUUAUGAUGGUUAGCUGGUCUGAGAGGAUGAUCAGCCACACUGGAACUGAAACACGGUCCAGACUCCUACGGGAGGCAGCAGUGAGGAAUAUUGCGCAAUGGGGGCAACCCUGACGCAGCAACGCCGCGUGAGUGAGGAAGGUUUUCGGAUUGUAAAGCUCUGUCGAGCGGAAAGAAGUGCAUUAUGGCUAAUAUCCAUAGUGCUUGACGGUACC